AUGAACGCUGGCGGCGUGCCUAAUACAUGCAAGUCGAGCGAACAGAUGAGGAGCUUGCUCCUCUGACGUUAGCGGCGGACGGGUGAGUAACACGUGGAUAACCUACCUAUAAGACUGGGAUAACUUCGGGAAACCGGAGCUAAUACCGGAUAAUAUAUUGAACCGCAUGGUUCAAUAGUGAAAGACGGUUUUGCUGUCACUUAUAGAUGGAUCCGCGCCGCAUUAGCUAGUUGGUAAGGUAACGGCUUACCAAGGCAACGAUGCGUAGCCGACCUGAGAGGGUGAUCGGCCACACUGGAACUGAGACACGGUCCAGACUCCUACGGGAGGCAGCAGUAGGGAAUCUUCCGCAAAGGGCGAAAGCCUGACGGAGUAACGCCGCGUGAGUGAUGAAGGUCUUCGGAUCGUAAAACUCUGUUAUUAGGGAAGAACAAAUGUGUAAGUAACUAUGCACGUCUUGACGGUACCUAAUCAGAAAGCCACGGCUAACUACGUG
rnacentral:rRNA from 1 species